rnacentral:tRNA from 1 species
GGGAGUAUAGCUUAGUUGGUUUAAAGCGCCAGCUCGACAAGCUGGAGAUCACAGGUUCGAGUCCCGUUAUUCCCA